GUCACCCCCGAGCGGCCCCCCUCGUCAGCCGCUCGAGUGUGGUACCUCGGAGCU
rnacentral:sRNA from 1 species